GGCCUAAUAGUCGAAUUGGUUAAGACGCGACUCUUUCAAUGUUGAGAUGGGGAUUCAAUUUCCCCUUGGGCUA
rnacentral:tRNA from 1 species